AAGUCGUAACAAAGCUUCCGUAGGUGAACCUGCGGAAGGAUCAUUAACACGUAUCAAACGUUCAAACAACCCUGUGAAUGACUGGGCUUCCUCUAGUAAAUCAUAGUCUUAACAAGGUUUUGAGUUAGAGGAUGGCGCACGAGUAGCACCUGUAUUGGGUCGAGCGUUUCCAACUAUCCACUCCUGGUGCCCCCAAGCAACCAUCAAUCUGAAAGUGUUUGGUGAAUUGUGCAAGGGCAGCGCAGUCAACGAUCGGUGGUCCACACGGCCAUCGACCGGGGGUCGUUACCUCCCUGUGGGGCCAAGUUCAUUCAGGUUGAACAUGAUGCAUGUCUACCGCGCCCGACGAAAGUCCGACGCACCCCUAACCGAACAACUGUUAACAAUGGAUAUCUUGGUUCUC
rnacentral:misc_RNA from 1 species